rnacentral:rRNA from 1 species
UACGUAGGGGGCAAGCGUUGUCCGGAUUUAUUGGGCGUAAAGAGCGUGUAGGCGGCCUGAAAGGUCAGCUGUGAAACUCGAGGCUCAACCUCGAGACGUCGGUUGAAACCAUCUGGCUAGAGUCCGGAAGAGGAGAGUGGAAUUCCCGGUGUAGCGGUGAAAUGCGCAGAUAUCGGGAAGAACACCCGUGGCGAAGGCGGCUCUCUGGGACGGUACUGACGCUGAGGAGCGAAAGCGUGGGAGCCGAACGAGGA